rnacentral:SRP_RNA from 1 species
UUGUGCUAAGCGGGGAGCUAGCGGUGCCCUGUACCCGAAAUCCGCUUCAUGCGGGGCUGAAUCCCCCCCUGAAGGGUGGACCUCACCCGCCGGUUGGUUGCAUGGACCGGUCGCCGCGCAACAGACGGUUACGAACCUCGUCAGAUCCGGAAGGAAGCAGCGAUAAGUAACGCGGUCUGUGUCGCGGAUCGAUCCCGGUCAUUUUGCGGCUACCGGCUUUCGAGGAAUAUUCGACAGGGGGGUGCACAA